AACGUAGGUGGCGAGCGUUAUCCGGAUUUACUGGGCGUAAAGCGUGUUCAGGCGGUUUGGAAAGUCGGGCAUGAAAUCUCUUGGCUCAACCAGGAGAGGCUGUCCGAUACUUCCAGACUUGAGGGCAACAGAGGGCGGUGGAAUUCCGGGUGUAGUGGUAAAAUGCGUAGAUAUCCGGAGGAACACCUGUGGCGAAGGCGGCCGCCUGGGUUGCCCCUGACGCUAAAACACGAAGGCUAGGGCAGAGAAC
rnacentral:rRNA from 1 species